UACGGAGGGUGCAAGCGUUAUCCGGAUUUACUGGGUUUAAAGGGUGCGUAGGUGGGUAGGUAAGUCAGUGGUGAAAUCUUCGAGCUUAACUCGGAAACUGCCAUUGAUACUAUCUGUCUUGAAUACUUUGGAGGUAAGCGGAAUAUGUCAUGUAGCGGUGAAAUGCUUAGAUAUGACAUAGAACACCAAUUGCGUAGGCAGCUUACUACACGAUCAUUGACGCUGAGGCACGAAAGCGUGGGGAGCAAACAGG
rnacentral:rRNA from 1 species